AUCCAGGACUCCGCGCGGGACUGGGAUGGGCUGGGCUGGUCGCGGACCGGGCUCCUCUCGGAGGGAGGGAGCUGGGGGCUGCUCGCCGGGGUGUGAGCGUGCGCCGGCGGCUCUGGGACUUUGCGCAGCGAAUCUGAUGGUGGGCGUUGGUGUCCGGGAGGGCGUGGGUGGUCUCAGUGCACCUGCAGGGAGCGAGGUUGUGGAUUUGUAGUGUGUUGCCUGGGCAAAGUGUUCUGUGAAUAACAGGGCAGCACCUCCCCGCCCACUCGUGCCCCUUCCUAUGCACUUGACAGGAGUGAGUUCGCCCGAGCCACGGAGUUCCUGUUCAGUCUUUUGCAGAAGACGCUGAGACAGAAAGGUCAAGUAACUCUCCUGAAGUCACACAGCUGUUUCAAAUGCAGGAUGUCUCACACCAGGACCGCGCCAGGACCAUGGUGUGGGGCAAGAGCUUCCUGUCACCCCACACCUCCCAGCAGGAAGGUGGUGUGGAUCCGAGGCAGGGUGAGGGUGGGGGAUAGCGGGUUGGCAGAGUGCACGGCCUCCCACUAGGAGGAGCAAGGCUAGUGAAGCAGGACCGGCCACACCACGUCCACCUUGGUGCCUUCUGACAGGUCAGUCUGGGCCCCAGUCCCUGGUUCCUGGUGAGCUUCCCAUCACCCCCCACCUCCCUGCGUGCCCAGAUCGGCAUUGCAUCUGGAGCGUUCCGAAGAGAAACACAACCUGGGGGCGUUGGUAACAGCAGCCAACCCGCGGAGUGAGGUCUGGGCCAGGAGUGCUCUGCUCAGGCAAGGAACA
rnacentral:lncRNA from 10 species